ACUUUGCAGAGAUGGAUUGGUGCCUUCGGGAACUGUGAGACAGGUGCUGCAUGGCUGUCGUCAGCUCGUGUUGUGAAAUGUUGGGUUAAGUCCCGCAACGAGCGCAACCCUUAUCCUUUGUUGCCAGCGGUCCGGCCGGGAACUCAAAGGAGACUGCCAGUGAUAAACUGGAGGAAGGUGGGGAUGACGUCAAGUCAUCAUGGCCCUUACGACCAGGGCUACACACGUGCUACAAUGGCGCAUACAAAGAGAAGCGACCUCGCGAGAGCAAGCGGACCUCAUAAAGUGCGUCGUAGUCCGGAUUGGAGUCUGCAACUCGACUCCAUGAAGUCGGAAUCGCUAGUAAUCGUGGAUCAGAAUGCCACGGUGAAUACGUUCCCGGGCCUUGUACACACCGCCCGUCACACCAUGGGAGUGGGUUGCAAAAGAAGUAGGUAGCUUAACCUUCGGGAGGGCGCUUACCACUUUGUGAUUCAUGACUGGGGUGAAGUCGUAACAAGGUAACCGUAGGGGAACCUGCGGUUGGAUCACCUCCUUACCUUAAAGAAGCGUUCUUUGCAGUGCUCACACAGAUUGUCUGAUGAAAAUGAGCAGUAAAACCUCUACAGGCUUGUAGCUCAGGUGGUUAGAGCGCACCCCUGAUAAGGGUGAGGUCGGUGGUUCAAGUCCACUCAGGCCUACCAAAUUUGCAUCGCAAAUUUGAAGAGGUCUU
rnacentral:rRNA from 1 species